rnacentral:lncRNA from 1 species
GGUCGCUUCUCGCAGGCGGCGCGCUUGCUGGGUCACAGUGAGGCGGCUCCGCGCAGGCGCAGCCGGGCGGGCGAGGAGCGGGGAAGCUGACUCAGGGCUGCGGCCGGGGUCCUGCGGGGUAGGAGCGCGAGGCCGGCCUGAGGGAGGAGGCCUAGCGACCCAUCCGGCGCCUCCCGCCCCGGGCACCCGCCCGCGGCCGCGCAUCCUGCGGGCCCCAGGAGGCCUCCAUCUCAAAACAACGUGUUUUUAGAGAACUCAAGGGCUGUGAAAAGAGCAGGACCUCACCAGCUGCACGGCGGUGGUGACUGGCUCCAUCUUGCUGUCCCUCCCAAUCACACAACAUCUCCCCUUGAAGGCUCUGCCCAGGCCCGGACUCCCACCUUUCAAGAUGUCUGGAUCAGUGCAGGACCUCCUCCUUGGCCACAUCGCUCUCCUUGGACUGGUUCGUUAACCCUGUUUUACCCACAUGCUGGAGUGCAAUGACUCGGUCUCGGCUCAUUGCAACCUCCGCCUUGCAGGUUCAAGUGAUUCUCCCACCUCAGCCUCCCAAGUAGGAUUACAGGUACACACCACCACGCACAGCUAAUUGUUUUGUAUUUUAGGAAGAGAUGGGGUUUCAUCAUGUUAGCCAGGCUGGUCAGGUGAUCCAUCCGCCUUGGCCUCCCCAAGUGCUGGGAUUACAGGCGUGAGGCACUGUGCCCGGCCUGCCCCCCUUUUCUCUUGAUGUAAGUGGACAUUUUAAUCCAUAAUCUGUAACAUUUAUGUAUUAAGUUUACUACUAUCUUUGGUUUGCAGUGUUGACUCACCUGUGGAGUGGUCUGAGCCUGAAUGCCCGGGGCUGUGGCCACCGAGUGAACGGGCUGUGCUAAGGGGAAUUGCCACCUUGGGAAACCUGUGUAGUUGCGGCUUUUCUGAUUAAGUAUCAAUAAAAGUCUGACCUUGUGAAAAAAGCAAACGUGAGUGGCCCUGCUUAUGUUUCACCUUGCGUUGCUCAGUGAUAGUUCUGCAAAGUCGCAGGAAACCUGGAAUCAUCUAAUUAUCGUGAGUGUUGGUGAGUAACACCCAUAGGCACUGGCUCCCGGGGAAAUACGUUCCUUAUUUAAUAAUGUCUAGUUGAUUCAUUAACAUGGAAUUCAUGGCCAGUACCUCUGUCACUCAUGCCUGACUGAAGUUGAUCAGCACGUCUUUUUCUCCCUUAGGCACAUGACAGCCUUCUUGCAAUCAAGAAACUACGUGUGGCCAGGAUCUCAUCCACUAUCACAGUUUCAGCUUUCCCCAAACUGGAAUGUGUCUUUGCAGACGCCCAUCCUUAUUAAAGGGCAAAGACUUCUCAUACACCUAGGAUGGAUCUUAUAUUCUUGGCGGGACUGCAGAGAAGGUGCCGUGUCCUGAGUCCUCAUGUCAGGGCACAGGCUUCCAGCCAGUUCUACCUGGGUUAUGUUUAUCUCAAUUCCCUGGUGGUAUUGGUGUCUGCUGGGUUUUGCCAGAAUGAAGACACCGUGUUUUCAUUUGUCAGUUGAUUCGUAUUUUCCAGGAAGACAUUCUGAGAUUACAGCAUUGUCUUAGUCAAGGUGCUGCAGAAGGACAGAACUAAUAGGAUAUAUGUACAUAUGAAAGAAAGUUUAUGAAGAACUGGCUCACACCAUCACAAGGCAAAGUCCCAUGACAGGCCAUCUGCAAGCUGAGGAGCGAGGAAGCCAGCAGUGGCUCAGCCGGAGUCCAACAGCCUCAAACGGAAUCCAACAGUUCAGGCUUCAGUCUGUGGCCAAAUGCCCAGAGACCCCGGAAAGCUACUGGUGUUAGUCCCAGAGCCGGAAGGCCAAAGAACCUGGAGUGUGAUGUCCAAGGGCAGGAGGAAUGGACAGAAGCAUCCAGCAUGGGGUAAAGACGAAAGCCAGAAGACUCAGCAAGCUAGCUUACCUACUUUCUUCUGCCUGCCUUGUUCUAGCCGCGCUGGCAGCCGGUUGGAGGGUGCCCACCCCCACUGAGGGUGGAUCUUCCUCUCCUAGUCCACUGACUCAAAUUUCAGUCUCUCUGGGAGCACCAUCACACCAGAAACAAUACCAGCCAUCUAGCCACCCUUCAGUUCACCAUCACAACCAUUGUCUUAUUCAUGAAACUUCUGCAGACCCACCUUAACCUCCAUCGGUGACUUCUACCUGAAGCCCUCUGAUUGUUGCCCAGUGGUGCUUUUUAAAAUAAUUUCCAUAGUUUCUUCUACACCUUUAGUUGGCAUUCUACUGUAAAGGAGAGAUUUUAUUUUCUUACUCAUUUAUUUGUUAGUUUAUAGUCACCACCAUAUGGAUGCAGAGUUCUGUCUCAUUCACUGGGAAGUAUUCUAUUGCAGUCAUGAUUUAUUUUGAUGUUCACAUCCCAGAGUUGGUGAGUGAGCGCCCCUUCACGCUGGCUCCCGAGUGCUGACGUGUCCCCGUCCUUCUCUGCACUUUUCCUUACCUCCUGGCCUCAGAUAUUCCAGGGUCAUUUGUUCUCUCCCUGCUCCAACCCUGCAGUCAGCCAUCUCCCUAGGGACGUUGGUUCCUUUAUGGAAGGUGGCAUUUAGAAGCCAGGAUUUGGGCUGAGCACUGUGGCUCAUGCUUGUAAUCCCAGCACUUGGGGAGGCCGAAGUGGGCGGAUCGCUGGAGGCCAAGAGUCUGAGACCAGCCUGGCUAACAUGGUGAAACCCUUCCCCGUCUCUACUACAAAUAAAAAAUUAGCUGGGUGUGUUGGCACGUGCCUGUAAUCCCAGUUACUCAGGAGGCUGAAGCACCAGAAUCUCUUGAACCCAGGAGGCCGAGGUUGCAGUGAGCCAAGAUUGCACCACUGCACUACAGCUUGGGUGACAGCGCGAGACACCGUCUCAAAAAGGAUAAUAAUUUAAAAAACAGCAGGAUUUGGGUGAGCAGUGCGCUCAUUGCUUCUGGGCUCUCUCGGUGGACAUAGGCUAGGAAUGUAAGAUGUAUGUGCCUGUGUAUAUACACACGUCUGUAGCUAUGUCUAUGUUGCAUACAUGUGUUUUUCCAAAAACCAAAUCCAUAACCAUGCCUUCAGUUUCAGCCCAACACCUCCGGGCUCUUUCUAGCUUUCUACCUUUCAUGAUUGUGAAUACCUUCUCCAGCAGUGAGAAACCUGGCUCCUUUGUCCUCAGUGGAUUUUCUUAUUUGCUCAAUUUUUUUGUUUUUUGUUUUGUUUUUGUUUUUGAGACAGAGUCUUGUUCUGUCACCCAAGCUGGAGUGCAGUGGCAUAAUCUCGGCUUACCGCAACCUCUGCCUCCUGG